rnacentral:lncRNA from 1 species
AUCAGGGGUUGAGCUUAGUCAAUUCUUGAUUUGAUUAGAAUUUUAUUGAAUCUAAAUAAACCUAAUUAAAUUGGGUUUAACUUAGUCUAAUUGUGCUUAACCUAUUUUGAUUAGGUUGGUUCAAUUAUGAUCAAACCACCUUUUGAAUUCAAACUCCCUGCGCCACCUCACUUCUCUACACCCAUUUGAAUUCACGAGAAGCAACUUCUCAUGAAUUUUCUCUCACGCAGAAGGCAUCCCACGCCCACCCUUGUGCGCUAAUUAUCUGGAUAAAAAUAAGUUAGUUGGCCAUUCAAAUUCAAAGGAUGUUUGAAUUUUAAUGGGCAACCAACUAAUCCAUGUGCCACCCACCUUAUCUUGUGCACCCCUUGCUUUACACGAGAAAGAGUUUCUUGUAUAAACUCUCCAUGCACAAAGAAUCCAUGCCUCCUCUCUUCUCAUGCCCAGAGUGGAUAAGGAUGAGUUGGUUUGCAUUUGAAUUCAAAUUUGAUUUGAAUUCAAGUGUGCAACCACUUAUCUUUAUCCUUUCACGCGGAUAAGACACGUCUUGCACUGUUUUAAAAGAGAAAGGGAGGUGGGGCGUGCGUAGAAAAUUUUCUGAGAGAGAAUAGUGGGUGUGAGGAAGCCUUGUGCAUGAGUAGGAAGUUCAAAAACUUUCG